AGGCCUGAUUCACACAGUCUCCUCUGAACAUGUAGAGAUGUGUCUGCUGCUGGAGCUCUGUGUGGCAUCUAUCUGGGCUCUAAUCUGCUGUUAACCCGUGAUGAGGCUGGUGACUUGGAUGGAUUUACCCUCAGCAGCAGAGAAGCAGUAAAACCACCAAACCUGUGACUGCUGCUGUACAUCAUCAUGUCUGUUUCCUCAGAGGCUGCGCUGCACACCAUGCUGAGGUUUGGCUGAUCAUUCUUUGGGAAUCACCGUGUGUGUCACCAAACGUAUUAACCUUGAUUACAUGUUUAUAUAAUCAGCUGAAAAAUAAAAAUAAAGCCAGUGCAGCAUGACUGUAGUACUGAGACUGAGAAAAGAAUAAGCGAGGCCACUCUGACGAGUCCUCUGCUUUUACUCCCAUCGAUUUCUCACUCAGCCACUUGUGGCCAGCUUUGAAUGAAAUUGUCCCGCAGCUACUCAGUAUGGAUGAGUAGCAAUGCCAAGAUGACUCGGAGAAGAUUCAGAGUCAAGUUUAUAGAGAUGAUUGGACCAAAUAAUGGGUUUUGUCUGCGGUCUGAAGCAGCUGCACCAACCUGUUUGUCUGCAGGAGCUAUUUGCUUUCCUAAAGUCCGAUUAGGCCCGAGAGGCUAGUUUGUGUGAUUGCGUGUCUCUUCUGAUAUAUGUCGCCUGUGUGUGCACAAGUGUGUUUGCGGGAAGCAUGUGAAAGUGUGCCUGAAUUUUCCCUGCACUUCUAUCAGCAUGCUUUGUUAAGAUGCUAGGAUUACGGUAAUUGCAGUGGCUGCGUCUGCUGCUCAGGAAGCAGGAAACACUCGGUUUUGCUGCCCUUAUCUCUGUGCCUCAGUGUGUGUGUGUGUGUGUGUGUGUGUGUGUGUGUGUUUGAAAAAAGUCGUGUGCAUUUGAUGUUCACGUCUCUGCUUCUCACCGUGCGCACCCUGCUCCUGAUCGGAUCACAGCAGUGAGAUACCUCGAGAUAAUCGCCCGAGAUAAUAGACUUUUUAUUGAUUCAUCUCACACAAUCUGAUCAUUCUCUCUGGAGCAUAAACUCUUGUAAUUGGUGUAAAUCAGCCAGCAGACUGUAAAAGAUGGACGUUUAUUGCCAGCAGAUACAGAGUCUGAAGGAAUAUGAGCCGGUGUGAGGGCAGCUAAUCGUCAUCAGAGCAGCUGGAGUGGAGAAAAUGACACCUGGCCAGUGUCACGAAAAGAGAUGUGUGUGUGUCUGUGUGUGUGUGUGUGUGUGAGAGAUUUCACUCAAAUAAGUUUGAAAGUAGCACUGGAGCCAGACUCGAUGGAGCUCAUGUUGUUUCUGUCUCGAGAUAACAUUUGUAGAAGACGAGUGAACGCGCUGCGUCACAUAUUGCUCCGUUCUCCGUCUCAGGCGUCCUUGUAGUUCUUUAUUGCUUUAUUAAUCAGCCUGAGCCACAUGGCAUGCAGGGAGACAUAGUUUAGUGAGCAGUGUGGCCUACUGUUAAUAUUUAAUGGGUUAGCUUUUAUGAUCAUUCUGCAUGUUGUUCCAAAUAUUACUGAAAUGGAAAAGUUACAGAGCGUAUAGCGGAGUACGUUGGGGUGGGACUGACUCGGAGAUUCGAGGUGUCACAGACCAGGGCGGAAACGACCCUGUCAAAACUGAUGCAUUGCUGGAGAUCAGUCAGAUGUGAGCAACAGUGUUUGGUAUGAUCACAAACACAGUCUGUCAGUGCAGUGAAAGCAGGCAGAGUCAGUCAUGAUCGGCCUCCUCAACAUAGCUGGACAGACUGAGAUCAUCCUGACAGAGAACUGAGCAAACAUGCUGUGAGUGAAGCCUGGAGAAGUGUUCCUGAGAGAGUUCAGGCUGGGUUGAAGAAUAAAGGUGCUCAUACCAAAUGUUCACUUUGAAGACCAUUAAACUUGUACAAACUCUG